AGGAAAAAGUGUCGCUGCUACAACAGAAGAGAAAUAUGCAGCCUGCGACUGCGCCAGAAAAACGCAGUCUUCCAAGGAAGCUGACAACCAACGCAAAUCACAUGACUCCGUUGUGGAAGACAGACGAGGACAAAGCUUAUCUUCAAGAACAGUCAUCAUUCCUCCAGAACUUGGCAAGUGCAUCCUCCACUUUUAAGUCUUGAAGAACGUGUUACGAGGAAAACUGUCACGCAAGAUUUACAAUCUGAAAGAUACAAUCUGUGUCCUUCCUGCUAUAACACGCAUGCCCCCCCCCCCCCACAUGUGCGUAUUGAAAGGCAGGCUGUAAUAAAGAUUACACCCAUUUAUUUUACAAAUCUCGCGGUACAAAAUGUAUAUAUACUUCCCCGUAAUAGAUAUACCUACUAUGUACACACAACAUAGUGGAGUCUUAAAUACACCAAACUAGGCUCCAAACUGGCUUACAGCCCUACCUGGUAAGUGCACUUUUUCGUCGCGUCAAUAUUUAAGGCACCUUCAAACGUACGAAAGUAGUUUGCUCGAGCAAGAAAGAAAGGUCAUUCUAUCGGAUCAGCUGCCUUCACAUUGAGGUAUUGCCCCGCAUAAAUCUCUAAAUCCUGACUAGAAUCCUUAAUUAAGCCCAAUACAUGUCUCACGUACGUUUCACCACCCUUUCUAGAACUGGCAACAUAAAAUAAAUAUUUGCAAAUAUUUGUCAGUACCAUUUUUCGUGAUCGCUUUCAAUUAAUGCUAUCGGUUGGAAUUUGACAACAGCAGAUCGCAGAUACCCAUUCAAAAACGAAGAAAAGAAACAGUGGUGAGAGCUAAGACCUAUUAGUGAAAACUUGUCGAGACCCUCCAUUGCUACGUAAAAUCUAAAAGACCAAGU